rnacentral:rRNA from 1 species
GACGAACGCUGGCGGCGUGCUUAACACAUGCAAGUCGAACGGAAAGGCCCUGCUUUUGUGGGGUGCUCGAGUGGCGAACGGGUGAGUAACACGUGAGUAACCUGCCCUUGACUUUGGGAUAACUUCAGGAAACUGGGGCUAAUACCGGAUAGGAGCUCCUGCUGCAUGGUGGGGGUUGGAAAGUUUCGGCGGUUGGGGAUGGACUCGCGGCUUAUCAGCUUGUGGGUGGGGUAGUGGCUUACCAAGGCUUUGACGGGUAGCCGGCCUGAGAGGGUGACCGGACACAUUGGGACUGAGAUACGGCCCAGACUCCUACGGGAGGCAGCGGUGGGGAAUAUUGCACAAUGGGCGGAAGCCUGAUGCAGCAACGCGGCGUGCGGGAUGAAGGCCUUGGGGUUGUAAACCGCUUUCGCCUGUGACGAAGCGUGAGUGACGGUAAUGGGUAAAGAAGCACCGGCUAACUACGUG